rnacentral:rRNA from 1 species
UAAUACAGAGGGUGCGAGCGUUAAUCGGAAUUACUGGGCGUAAAGGGCGCGUAGGCGGCUAUGUAAGUUAGAUGUGAAAUCCUUGGGCUUAACCUGAGCAUUGCAUUUAAUACUGUAUGGCUAGAGUAAAGUAGAGGGAAGUGGAAUUUCCGGUGUAGCGGUGAAAUGCGUAGAUAUCGGAAAGAACAUCAGUGGCGAAGGCGGCUUUCUGGACUUAUACUGACGCUGAGGCGCGAAAGCAUGGGUAGCAAACAGG